AGUGAACGCUGGCGGUAGGCCUAACACAUGCAAGUCGAACGUCAGCACAGUAAGAGCUUGCUCUUACGGGUGGCGAGUGGCUGACGGGUGAGGAAUACAUCGGAAUCUACUUUUUCGUGGGGGAUAACGUAGGGAAACUUACGCUAAUACCGCAUACGACCUACGGGUGAAAGCAGGUGAUCUUCGGACCUUGCGCGAUUGAAUGAGCCGAUGUCGGAUUAGCUAGUUGGCGGGGUAAAGGCCCACCAAGGCGACGAUCCGUAGCUGGUCUGAGAGGAUGAUCAGCCACACUGGAACUGAGACACGGUCCAGACUCCUACGGGAGGCAGCAGUGGGGAAUAUUGGAAAAUGGGCGCAAGCCUGAUCCAGACAUACCGCGUGGGUGAAGAAGGCCUUCGGGUUGUAAAGCCCUUUUGUUGGGAAAGAAAAGCAGCAGGUUAAUACCCCGCUGUUCUGACGGUACCCAAAGAAUAAGCACCGGCUAAAUUAGUG
rnacentral:rRNA from 1 species